GAUGAACGCUGGCGGCGUGCCUAACACAUGCAAGUCGAGCGGCAGCGAGGGGUGCUUGCACCCUGUCGGCGAGCGGCGGACGGCUGAGUAACGCGUGGGAACCUGCCCCAAAGUGAGGAAUAACUGCCCGAAAGGGUAGCUAAUACCGCAUAUUAUCUUCGGAUCAAAGGAUUUAUCCGCUUUGGGCGCGGCUCGCGUCGGAUUAGGCAGUUGGUGAGGUAAUGGCUCACCAAGCUGACGAUCCGUAGCUGGUCUGAGAGGAUGACCAGCCAGACUGGAACUGAGACACGGUCCAGACUCCUACGGGAGGCAGGAGUGAGGAAUCUUCCACAAUGGGCGAAAGCCUGAUGGAGCAACGCCGCGUGCAGGACGAAGGCCUUCGGGUUGUAAACUGCUUUUAUAAGUGAGGAAUAUGACGGUAACUUAUGAAUAAGGAUCGGCUAACUACGUG
rnacentral:rRNA from 1 species